ensembl:lncRNA
GUUUUUAAAUGGAUAAUCAUGUCAUUUAUAAAUAGAGGCAAUUUUAUGUCUUCUUUUCUAUUUCAUAUGCCUUUUGUUUCUUUUUCUUGCCUUAUUGCAAUAGCUAGAACUUCUAGAACUAUACCGAGUGAGAGUGGAUAUCCAUGCCUUAUUCCUGAGCUUUGUGGAAGAAGAAUUCCAUUUGUCACCUUUAAGUAUGAUAUUAGCAGAAAGUUUCCUCCAUUUUUUAAAGACUACUGAAUAACCUUACAGUUCUAUGGUGCUGACACCAGGAAAAUAAUAGAAGUUAACACAGUUAUGGGCUGCCAAUGAGGUGAGAGAAGACUGAAAGAAGCAUAUGAACAAAAGACCACAAGAAAAAUUGAAUAAAAAACUGUGGACCUUUCUCUGGGAAAACAUGUGCACAUGCACAUUAAAUGAUUCAUAUGAUGUGGAACUCAGACCUACUAAGGAGUAUCUGUGGCUCAGUAAGGAAAAGACACAAUUGUGGUUCACAUUUUGUAACUAUAUCUUGUGUAUCUUGCCUGGCUUAAAGGAACAAAAUUUAAAUAAUGGAAUUUGGGGAAAAUAAACAGGUAAGAUGAAGCAAAAUUUGGAGAAUUUUAGAUCCAGGAAGAAUUAUGAAAUAAAAGGAAGACUAAUUAUCUUCUUCAGAGGUGAGGAGACUCAGGUUCAGAAAGUUGAUUUAAUUUGCCUCAGGUCCUAUAGAUGGUGAUCCACGAUAGAGGUAAGACAAGAAAACAAAUCUCCCAACUUUCUGUUGCCCCAAGGACUUUUACCAUGAUGAUUGAGAGGCAGUGUGCUGUGGGGUAAGACACUGGAUGAUCUGCCAAAAUGUUCUGUAGUGUUUCUGAGUGUAAGAAAUGCCAGACAUUGGGGUACUUAAGCGGAAUUCUGGUGUCCCCAGACCUAGAAUUGGGUAACAAUGAUUCAACCUCUAAGAAGUUAAUUCUCAUUAGUUUUCCUUUAAUUCUUCUACACUUUUGAUGGCAUCAAAGGAAAAGUCUAUGUUGGAUUCAAAUCAGAGUUUAAUGCCUUUCUAGCACUUUCUAAAUUCCUUCCUUUAGCAGAGUAUCCAGGCCUUAGGUUCAAAGCGAUUGGUAAGCCAGAAUGGCUGGCUGUAAUUUAAUGGCAUUGCUUUGUUUCUAUUGCAUCUAUUAGCCACAUAUGGAAAAUGAUAUUCUUUUCUAAUUCAAGAAAUGAUCUAAAGUCUCUUUAAAACUUUCCUUAAUUUUUAUCUAAAAUGUAAAUAAAAGUGUUGAUGUAUGAGAAGUUUUAUGCACAUAAUAGGUUAUGCUGAUAGUACACAGAUAUGACCAAAACCAAAAUAACGAUGAAUGUAUGAAGUUGGGGAAUUACUGACACAGGGACUGAAUCCAAGGCCAUUGUGAGGGCCAUGUUGAAGAAUACACUUUGACCUCAGAGAAACAUAGAUUUGACUCCCAGUCCUGCCACCAAAAUUAGCUGUGUGGCCUUAAGCUAGAUACUUUAUAUCUCUGCAUUUGAGCAUCAAAAGUUAAUAAUACAACUUCUUUGCAAGGUUGUUGUGAAGAUUAGGAAUCUAAAUGAGAAGUAUGAAGCACAGUACCUGGCACAUAGUAGGAACUAAAGAAAUGGUAGCUCUCAAGAGAGCUGAGCUUUAAAUCAGUAUGAAUGAAAGAAGAGAAAAUGAAAGAAUGGGUGGCAGUAAGGCACCCAAUGCAGCCUUGAUUUUAAUCUCCCACCUCAUUUUUUGUUUCUCCUAACUGGUCAGGUAAGAUCACAGCUGGUUAAGUACAUCUUUGCUCCAGGAGGUCUGUUUGUCACUUUUGGAAAAAGCAAACUAUAAUCCUUGAGGCUAAUUUGUUACUAGAAGACUGGCUGUGUGUUUACUUGAUGGAAAAGCAGCCUUCAGGGCAUGCUGGGAGAUUGAUUCAUUUGUUAUUCCUG